rnacentral:rRNA from 1 species
UACAUGUGGGGCAAGCGUUGUUCGGAAUUACUGGGCAUAAAGGGUGCGUAGGCGGUUUGUUAAGUCUGUGGUGAAAGUUUUCGGCCCAACCGGAAAAUUGCCGCGGAUACUGGCGAACUUGAGUGCGUGAGGGAUGGGGGGAACGAGCAGUGUAGCGGUGAAAUGCGUAGAUAUUGCUCGGAAGGCCAGAGCCGAAGGG